GAGUCGGUAGCUCAGUUGGUAGAGCAUGUCACUUUUAAUGACAGGGUCGCGGGUUCGAGCCCCGCCCGACUCACCA
rnacentral:tRNA from 1 species